GAUGAAGAACGUAGUGAAAUGCGAUAAGUAGUGUGAAUUGCAGAAUUCAGUGAAUCAUCGAAUCUUUGAACGCACAUUGCGCCCCUUGGUAUUCCAUGGGGCAUGCCUGUUCGAGCGUCAUUUGUACCUUCAAGCUUUGCUUGGUGUUGGGUGUUUGUCCUGAGGGACUCGCCUUAAAGUAAUUGGCAGCCAGUGUUUUGGUUUUAAAGCGCAGCACAAGUCGCGAUUCAAGGCUAUACGCCAGCUUCCACAAGCCUUUUUCACUUUUGACCUCGGAUCAGGUAGGGAUACCCGCUGAACUUAAGCAUAUCAAUAAGCGGAGGA
rnacentral:misc_RNA from 1 species